AUUGAACGCUGGCGGCAUGCCUAACACAUGCAAGUCGAACGAGUGGCGGACGGGUGAGUAAUGUCUGGGAACCUGCCUAAUGGAGGGGGAUAACUACUGGAAACGGUAGCUAAUACCGCAUACCAUCAGAUGUGCCCAGAUGGGAUUAGCUAGUUGGUGGGGUAACGGCUCACCAAGGCGACGAUCCCUAGCUGGUCUGAGAGGAUGACCAGCCACACUGGAACUGAGACACGGUCCAGACUCCUACGGGAGGCAGCAGUGGGGAAUAUUGGACAAUGGGCGCAAGCCUGAUGCAGCCAUGCCGCGUGUAUGAAGAAGGCUUUCGGGUUGUAAAGUACUGUCAUCGGGGAGGCGUUACCCGCAGAAGAAGCACCGGCUAACUCCGUGCCAGCAGCCGCGGUAAUUC
rnacentral:rRNA from 1 species